rnacentral:rRNA from 1 species
CGUGUAGGCGGUGCGGUAAGUUGGGCGUGAAAUCCCCGAGCUUAACUCGGGUGGGCCGUUCAAGACUGCCGUGCUAGGGUGCGGGAGAGGGAAGUGGAAUUUCCGGUGUAGCGGUGAAAUGCGUAGAUAUCGGGAGGAACACCUGCGGCGAAGGCGGCUUCCUGGACCGUAACCGACGCUGAGGCGCGAAAGCUAGGGGAGCAAACAGGAUUAGAUACCCUGGUAGUCCUAGCCCUAAACGAUGAGCACUGGGUGUGGCCCCUCACGAGGCCGUGCCGAAGCUAACGCAUUAAGUGCUCCGCCUGGGGAAUACGGUCGCAAGGCUGAA